CUUUAUUUUGCGAUCAUCAAGACAAAAAUUGUCUUACUUAAAAGAAACCAGAUUAAGAGGUUGCACAAACACUUGUUCCGCAAUUUUUGCGAAAUCAUAAGAAACUAUUCAAAGAUAUUGCGCAUUUCUUUGUCCAUGGAUCCAGCAAAUAUGGUCUUUCCGAAGCUUUCUAGCAACUCCUUCAAACAGGUGUUAUCUACUCCCCCCUGGAUGAAAAUUGUGGACCUUGAGCGAGGCCGUUAUCUAGAUGAGUGUGCAGAUUUCUAUUUUCAGAGUUCGCACAUCAGCGUUUUAUGCUGCUUAGUAUAGUGGAGAAAAUCGACUGGCACACACACGUUAGUACAGAAAAGAAUUGGUAAACUGACCUUAAGGCCUUCCUGCCCGUUUAUGACACUUUCUACACGUUACUCCAGAGUAAAAACUUACCCUUUAGGGUUGGGCAAGGGUGGCAGGCGGAGCGGAACGUUUGGAAAGUUCACCAUCUGUCGUCAGAAAGAUUCGUAUCCAGUACUAGCCACCUUUUGUAACCAAGCAGUUCUGUCACUAUAUGGAUGAAAAUGUCAGGCACAGGGGUGUGGACUGGCGUUCUGUUUUGCCAUUUGUUGCUAUGACUUUAGACUCAUUGCAGUACAAAAAUCAAAUAUCACUUACUGAAGCCAACAUCAAGAUACGAAUGAAAUCUCUUUACUACACUGUUUAGAUAAGGUUUAUUAAAUAAAUGCAAGUAUCCUUUCGUAAAAGACAGAAUUUGAACGAAAACCGAUAAAUGAUGGCUUCGACAUCUAACCAACAUAAAUAAAAUGACAACAUCAGCCAAGAAAUGUCAAGAGUUAAGAAAGGCGAAAAAUAUUUGUCUUACAUAAUUCCCGAACAAGGCCAAAAAAUGUCAAGGCUGAAAAUGUCAAGAUCGAUUUUGCAACGCUUCUAGCUUCCAAAAUGCGAAAUGAUACCUCCAAGUAUCGAUUUUCACUGACAUUUCUUGGGUUUUAACAGUAAAUAAAGUUAUGCACAUCAAA